rnacentral:rRNA from 1 species
UACGUAGGGAGCGAGCGUUGUCCGGAAUUACUGGGCGUAAAGGGUGCGUAGGUGGCCAUGCAAGUCAGAUGUGAAAUCCCCGGGCUUAACUCGGGGGGUGCAUUUGAAACUGCGUGGCUUGAGUGCAGGAGAGGAAAGCGGAAUUCCUAGUGUAGCGGUGAAAUGCGUAGAUAUUAGGAGGAACACCAGUGGCGAAGGCGGCUUUCUGGACUGUAACUGACACUGAGGCACGAAAGCGUGGGGAGCAAACAGG